GCAAAAUAUUUAUCUUCGGAUACGAGUCAUUGUAUCAACAAUGUAUCGUUGUGGAAAUUUAAGACUGACGCAAUAAACACUACCUGGAGUGCUGCGUUGUCGCAACUUGUUUAGACGCAACGUAAACAGUUUGUUUCUCAAUCGAUCAAUGGCUUGACACGCGCAUUGCAAAUCGGUUUUUUGAAUUUUAAGUCAUUCCUCGUUAUCGUGGACCAAUUGCAAGUUGUAGCAAGUUCUCAGUGGUACGAACUUGCGUCAUUUCGUUUGCGUAAUUAGCAAAAAUUCUGAAGCACGAUUCAUCCCAUUGACGCACAAUACGAUGAAAGAGGAAAACGAGUAACGAACGGUGUGAAAGACCAAACAGUUCUUGUUUCAAGGCUCAUGUUGUUUCUCAUCUACGAGACGACAUAACAGUUGGGAUCACAUUGGAAAAGGAAAAGAACAGAAACGGAAAUUACAUACUCUUUCAAUAUGAAACCAACGUGUGAUGUGUAAACCUGCAUAAAGAAGCUUUCUCUUUAAUCUAUAAAAGGGUGCAUAUCGGCCAACAUGAUGAAUUGAAGAGAAAUUGUGUAGGUUGAAUAUUCGCAAGUAGGUCGAGAAGUUCAUUAGAAUUCUAUAAAGUACCAUUACAUUUUUUUUCACGAGAGAGAACAGUAAUUUUCUACUUAUUUUAAUAUGAUCUUCUGACAGUAUACAGAACGAUUCUAUAGAUAAUACUUUUUUAAUUUACUUUAAUUUAGCUUAAUUUAUGUGUCAGGAGAAGCGCGAAUCUUUUUGGGUCAUUAGCGAGACUGCUGUAUUGCAUUACAUAGUUCGAUUAUAGAUGCAAAGAAAUUUUCUUGUGUUUCUAUUUUCCUUGAUUUUCAUAUAAUAGCUUUUAUCAGCUUUAACCCAAUACCUUUUAACCGAAAAAAUGAUCUUAAAAUCAUAAAUUACAAGGUCUGUUAUUCUAAAUAAACUAAUUCUAUCUUGA